GUCAUCAGCACUGCUCGAACCAGAGAAUAGGCUACAGGAGAGAAAGAGAGGUGAGAAGAGAUCGCUUUCGCUCGAUUUGUGGCUAGGGAACGCCAGGGCUUCCGUUUUCCUCGCUGGACUUUUGGUCCGGCUGCUGCUCGUCGCCGGAACUUCGGCCACCGCCAUCAGCGUCGCCUGAACAGGAAUGGCGGCCUCCGCCGCCGCAAUGCACCAUACCGUGCUCCUCUUCGUCGCUACGGUCCUGGUGGUGGCCUCCUUCGCCGCCACGCCCAUUGCUAGCGCCUUCACUGUGGUCACCGCCGGGUGCACCGCGGCAACUCCCCUGGAGCGCCAGGACCGAGUACCAGGGCGGAUGCGCCCAGGGAAGACGUCCUGGUCAUGCCCCAAGAGGCUGCUGCCGCACCAAACGCUGUCGACGAACAGGUUGCUGCAGGGGUCGAGAUCGAGUACGAGGAUGAGGCCUCUGCCUCCAACAUCACCACGGAUGCCGCCGAACUGCAGCCUCCUCCGCCGGUGUACGCACCCAUGGAGUGGAUGCUUGCCGGACCAAGCGCCGGAUGGCUCGUCGAUGACCCAGACCGCUACUUCUCCGACGAGGAACUCGCGGCGCCGCCUCCGCUGAUGUACUCUUGCCCAGGCUACGGGUACGGAUCGGGCCUCCCGUCCCCGACGCCAUCUGACGAGGACCCGAAGCACUUCAACCCGCCGGGCUACGAUCCAUUGCCGGAGUUCUCCUCGCCGCCGGCUGCAGUCCCUUUGGACGCGCCCAAGCCCCGACUCGUCAUCAACCUCCUGCCGAAGGUGAAGACGGAGGAGAUCGAGGCCGCUGCGCCGACGCUCGCUCUCCCAGCGCGCCGCGACCUCAACCUCCCGACGCUGGAAGUGGAGGAGAAGCACCAGGAAGCAGUGCCGCUGUCCGCACUCCCGACGCCCUCGCCGGAAGCCCGUGUGCUCCUCCGCCGCUUUGCAUCAGCCA
rnacentral:rRNA from 1 species